rnacentral:rRNA from 1 species
UGGCGGACGGGUGAGUAACGCGUGGGUAACCUGCCUCAUACAGGGGGAUAACAGUUAGAAAUGACUGCUAAUACCGCAUAAGCGCACAAAACCGCAUGGUUUGGUGUGAAAAACUGAGGUGGUAUGAGAUGGACCCGCGUCUGAUUAGCUAGUUGGUGGGGUAAUGGCCUACCAAGGCAACGAUCAGUAGCCGGCCUGAGAGGGUGAACGGCCACAUUGGGACUGAGACACGGCCCAAACUCCUACGGAAGGCAGCAG